AGUGAACGCUGGCGGUAGGCCUAACACAUGCAAGUCGAACGGCAGCACAGUAAGAGCUUGCUCUUACGGGUGGCGAGUGGCGGACGGGUGAGGAAUACAUCGGAAUCUACUUUUUCGUGGGGGAUAACGUAGGGAAACUUACGCUAAUACCGCAUACGACCUACGGGUGAAAGCAGGGGAUCUUCGGACCUUGCGCGAUUGAAUGAGCCGAUGUCGGAUUAGCUAGUUGGCGGGGUAAAGGCCCACCAAGACGACGAUCCGUAGCUGGUCUGAGAGGAUGAUCAGCCACACUGGAACUGAGACACGGUCCAGACUCCUACGGGAGGCAGCAGUGGGGAAUAUUGGACAAUGGGGGCAAGCCUGAUCCAGCCAUACCGCGUGGGUGAAGGAGGCCUUCGGGUUGUAAAGCCCUUUUGUUGGGAAAGAAAAGCAGCAGGUUAAUACCCCGCUGUUCUGACGGUACCCAAAGAAUAAGCACCGGCUAACUUCGUG
rnacentral:rRNA from 1 species